AAAGCGAAGCAGUGAUGUGGAGCGAAACUCAAAAAAUAAGUCUCAGUUCGGAUUGAAGGCUGAAAUUCGCCUUCAUGAAGCCGGAAUUGCUAGUAAUGGCAGGUCAGCAUACUGCCGUGAAUACGUUCCCGGGCCUUGUACACACCGCCCGUCACACCAUGAGAGUUGGGAAUACCCGAAGCCUGUGAGCUAACUUUUAGAGGCAGCAGUCGAAGGUAGAAUCAAUGAUUGGGGUGAAGUCGUAACAAGGUACC
rnacentral:rRNA from 1 species